rnacentral:rRNA from 1 species
CACCGCGGUUAUACGAGAGGCCCAAGUUGUUAAUCACCGGCGUAAAGCGUGGUUUAGAAACCCAGACUUACUAAAGCCGAACACCCUCCAAACUGUCGUACGCUUCCGAGGGUGAGAAGCCCAAUUCACGAAAGUAGCUUUACAACAUCUGACCCCACGAAAGCCAGGGAA